rnacentral:rRNA from 1 species
GCCGGCGACCAUACCACGUUGAAACCACCGGCUCUCGUCCGAUCACCGCAGUUAAGCAACGUUGAGCCCGGUCAGCACUUGCA